rnacentral:rRNA from 1 species
AGAGCGAACGCUGGCGGCAGGCUUAACACAUGCAAGUCGAACGAACUCUUCGGAGUUAGUGGCGGACGGGUGAGUAACACGUGGGAACGUGCCUUUUGGUUCGGAAUAGCUCCUGGAAACGGGUGGUAAUGCCGAAUGUGCCCUUCGGGGGAAAGAUUUAUCGCCAUUAGAGCGGCCCGCGUCUGAUUAGCUAGUUGGUGAGGUAAAGGCUCACCAAGGCUACGAUCAGUAGCUGGUCUGAGAGGAUGACCAGCCACAUUGGGACUGAGACACGGCCCAAACUCCUACGGGAGGCAGCAGUGGGAAUCUGCGCAAUGGGCGAAAGCCUGACGCAGCCAUGCCGCGUGUAUGAUGAAGGUCUUAGGAUUGUAAAUCUUUCACCGGUGAAGAUAAUGACUGUAGCGGAGAAGAAGCCCGAUAACUCGUGCCAGCAGCCG